CUCUCAGUGGGCCUGGCCCUCACCCCAAGCUGCAGAAGCACUUUCUGCGGGAGCUGGGGAGGGAGGGGCAGCCGGCUACACUGAGAGCCGGCAGUUGGGGGUAGGGCAGGGCCUGCGGUGGACUCUUCCAGGGAAGGGGGGCCUGCCUGCACCCCGUGGCUGGGGCCCCAUCUGACAGGGGUCAGGCCAUGACUAUUUGGCUGGAGGAGCAGAGAAAAGCAGGGGCCUCUGUCUCAGACCUCAGCCAGCUCAUGGGGUCAGGGCUGGACCCUUCAGCAUCCCUGCCUCCCCAGCCUGGAUCCCUGGGGCUGGGGGAGGUGGGGUGGGCAGGGACGCCCCUUUCCAGGCAGGGCAAAGGGAUGGGACAGGGAGGGGCCUGCUCAGAGGAGCCUAACUUGGGGAUUUGUUUUCUUCUAGAUAAACCUGGGACCCACUUUACUCCAGUGCCUCCGACGCCUCCUGAUGCGUGCCGGGGAAUGCUGUGCGGCUUCGGAGCCGUGUGCGAGCCCAACGCGGAGGGGCCGGGCCGGGCGUCCUGCGUCUGCAAGAAGAGCCCGUGCCCCAGCGUGGUGGCGCCGGUGUGUGGGUCGGACGCCUCCACCUACAGCAACGAAUGUGAGCUGCAGCGGGCGCAGUGCAGCCAGCAGCGCCGCAUCCGCCUGCUCAGCCGCGGGCCGUGCGGCUCGCGGGACCCCUGCUCCAACGUGAACUGCAGCUUCGGCAGCACUUGUGCGCGCUCGGCCGACGGGCUGACGGCCUCCUGCCUGUGCCCCGCGACCUGCCGUGGCGCCCCCGAGGGGACCGUCUGCGGCAGCGACGGCGCCGACUACGCCGGCGAGUGCCAGCUCCUGCGCCGCGCCUGCGCCCGCCAGGAGAAUGUCUUCAAGAAGUUCGACGGCCCUUGUG
rnacentral:sRNA from 1 species